rnacentral:lncRNA from 1 species
AGAAUUUUUUGAAAAAUUGUAAAGUGCAAAAUCCAGUUUCAGGCUUUGGAAAGGUAUGUUGCUGCAUUCUGGUUCAAUGCCUGAAACCAUUUUGCAACCCUGCUUUCCCAGCAGUUGGGAAGGUGCUGAUUCCCGGACUGCAGAGACGUGAAACUGUGCUUUUCCAGGGAGCAGAUGUGGUAUCCACAAAGAGACCAACCACAUCCCAUGAAGCAAGAGGAGUGCAGAACACCUCUUUGCGCCAAAAGUGCAGUCUGGAAAUGCUACAAAAGCUCAAAAACACACAGAAGAUACUGGCGGAAUAUCAUCGCUGAUUUCCUACAAGAAAGCAUUGUGAGCUGUCACUAAAAGAGUUUGUGGACUAAGUUACUGUGCCACUGCUAUCAAAUAAGGGGUGUGGUGUCAACACCGUAUUUUGGAACUGGACUGAGGUAUACACCCACUUGACCAUCUAAAUCAAGUACCCUCAUGAGGUAAAGCUUCUAGAUGAUUGCUGUUGUAAACUCUCGAAAUAUUAUCUGUUUUUACACGGAAUCUUGACUUGAAGGUAGGUGUAGAUCAUAUCCCUGUUAUCAUCCUUUUACAUGCACAGGUGGGAUGUGCUUUGGUGCUCUGAGAAUAAGCCCAGAGGAACACGUCACAGCCUUUCAGUGUACUGCAGGUCAUCACCUCUGUCAGCAAGUGCUGACCCAGUGAAGGCUGCAGAUUUUCCAGAGCCUAGAGAAUUCUUUGCCGUUUUGUAAAUGGUGUCCUAAAAACCACGACACACAAGUAACUCUUUCCCCCAGCCUCAAAAAAUGUAGAUGGAUAGUAUAAAUCAGUUUUAUCUGAACACUUCAGGCUAUAAAAUAAACGCUUUAAAUUAAGAAUUGCA